rnacentral:tRNA from 1 species
UAUAGAAUGCCCGAAGGAGAGGGAUUAUUUUGAUAGAAUAAUAAUGCUAUGAUGCUUCUAUAAUUUAAUAUAUUAAAGAUAUCGUACCUUUUGUAUUAUGGGAAUACAAAUAUAUUUACUAAAAAUUUUUCCCGAUAAAAAAUAACAUUUUUAAUAAAAAAUUUUAGUUUUACAUAAAUUUUUAAAAUUAUUAAUAACGUGAUACACGAUAAUUUUUUAAAUCUGGUUGUUUUCUAAAAAAAAAAAAACUUUUUUGAUAAAAUUUUUAAUUUAAUUACCUAAGUGUAAUUAUUAUUUUAUAAAAUAAUAUUAUAUUAACACUCUAAGAAUAAUAAUACCCUAAUUAUAAUUAAUAUUUGUUGUUUUUAAAAAUUUAUUAUUAUUUUAAUAUUUAGAAAACUUUAUAACUAUUUAAUUUAAAAUAUGUAUUCAUUAGUAAUAAUUGUUUAAUUAAUAUAUUUUUAAUAUUAUUUAUAAAUUUUAUAAUUAUAAAAGUUUAAUAACUUGAAUUAUAAAAAACUGUUUAACAAAAACAUAGUAAAAUUAAAUUUUAUAUAUCUGCCCAAUGAAUAUAUUUAUAUGGCCAUAAAUGUAGCAUAAUAAUUAGUUUAUUAAUUGUAAACUUGAAUGAAGACAACAUUUUUAUAAUAUGUUUUAACUUUUUUUAUGAACUUUAAUUAUUAGUGAAAAUGCUAAUAUGUACUUAAUAGACGAUAAGACCCUAAGAUCUUUAUAAAAUUUAACUGGGAUAGUUUUUUAAUAAUAAUAAAAACUUUUUAUUUAUAAAACCAAAUUAUUGCUAAAGAAAGAUACCUUAGGGAUAACAGCACAAAGAAAAUCUUAAGUCCAAAUUUUAAUAUUUCUAGUGACCUCGAUGUUGAAUUAAGUAAUUCAAAAGCUGCAAAAGGUUUUGUUUUAAGUCUGUUCGACUUUUAGUACUUACAUGAUUUGAGUUAAGAUCGACGCAAGUCAGAUUGGUUUCUAUCUUUAAGUUAUUAAUUUUUAUUUAGUACGAAAGGAAAGAUUAAAAUUUUAGAAAUUUAUUUAAAUUUUAUACUAUCA